UACGUAGGGAGCAAGCGUUGUCCGGAUUUAUUGGGCGUAGAGAGCUCGUAGGUGGCUCGGUAAGUCGGGUGUGAAAUUUCGAGGCUCAACCUCGAGACGCCACCUGAUACUGCUGUGGCUAGAGUCCGGUAGGGGAGCGUGGAAUUCCUGGUGUAGCGGUGAAAUGCGCAGAUAUCAGGAGGAACACCAGCGGCGAAGGCGGCGCUCUGGGCCGGUACUGACACUGAGGAGCGAAAGCGUGGGGAUCAAACAGG
rnacentral:rRNA from 1 species